rnacentral:rRNA from 1 species
AUAUCAAUAAGCGGAGGAAAAGAAACUAACAAGGAUUCCCCUAGUAACUGCGAGUGAAGCGGGAAAAGCUCAAAUUUAAAAUCUGGCAGUCUUUGGCUGUCCGAGUUGUAAUCUAGAGAAGCGUUAUCCGCGCUGGACCGUGUACAAGUCUCCUGGAAUGGAGCGUCAUAGAGGGUGAGAAUCCCGUCUUUGACACGGACUGCCAGGGCUUUGUGAUGCGCUCUCGAAGAGUCGAGUUGUUUGGGAAUGCAGCUCAAAAUGGGUGGUAAAUUCCAUCUAAAGCUAAAUAUUGGCGAGAGACCGAUAGCGAACAAGUACCGUGAGGGAAAGAUGAAAAGAACUUUGGAAAGAGAGUUAAACAGUACGUGAAAUUGCUGAAAGGGAAACGCUUGAAGUCAGUCACGUUGUCCAGGGAUCAACCUUGCUUUUGCAUUGGUGUACUUUCUGGUUGACGGGUCAGCAUCAAUUUUGACUAUUGGAAAAAGAUUGAGGGAAUGUGGCAUCUUCGGAUGUGUUAUAGCCCUUGGUUGCAUACAAUGGUUGAGAUUGAGGAACUCAGCACGCCGCAAGGCCGGGUUUUAACCACGUACGUGCUUAGGAUGCUGGCAUAAUGGCUUUAAUCGA